rnacentral:lncRNA from 1 species
CACAACUACUGCAAGCAAUUAAUUAUUUAUCAUCAUCACCACCAGACAAACCUCAAAAUCAAGAGCCCUUUACACUACCUUCAUUUAUUGUUUUACAGAUUACAGAAUUAUAAAGUGUAAAUAAUACUUACACUGUUCACAAUAUUUUACAUGUUCGAGCAUAGUAUUUUAUAAAUUAAAAACGGAAAUAUAAAGCUAAAGUGUCUGGGGCAACAUACUAUUUAUUGACGAAUAUUAUUGAACUGACAAUGAGCAUCCUCUUUACAUACACUUUGGGCAAGCUUUUAUUUUGCAGAAUGAGC